rnacentral:rRNA from 1 species
CGAUGAUCCGGUGCUUGCACCGGGGAUUAGUGGCGAACGGGUGAGUAACACGUGAGUAACCUGCCCUUAACUCUGGGAUAAGCCUGGGAAACUGGGUCUAAUACCGGAUAUGACUGAUCAUCGCAUGGUGGUUGGUGGAAAGCUUUUUGUGGUUUUGGAUGGACUCGCGGCCUAUCAGCUUGUUGGUGAGGUAAUGGCUUACCAAGGCGACGACGGGUAGCCGGCCUGAGAGGGUGACCGGCCACACUGGGACUGAGACACGGCCCAGACUCCUACGGGAGGCAGCAGUGGGGAAUAUUGCACAAUGGGCGCAAGCCUGAUGCAGCGACGCCGCGUGAGGGAUGACGGCCUUCGGGUUGUAAACCUCUUUCAGUAGGGAAGAAGCGAAAGUGACGGUACCUGCAGAAGAAGCGCCGGCUAACUACGUGCCAGCAGCCGCGGUAAUACGUAGGGCGCAAGCGUUAUCCGGAAUUAUUGGGCGUAAAGAGCUCGUAGGCGGUUUGUCGCGUCUGCCGUGAAAGUCCGGGGCUCAACUCCGGAUCUGCGGUGGGUACGGGCAGACUAGAGUGAUGUAGGGGAGACUGGAAUUCCUGGUGUAGCGGUGAAAUGCGCAGAUAUCAGGAGGAACACCGAUGGCGAAGGCAGGUCUCUGGGCAUUAACUGACGCUGAGGAGCGAAAGCAUGGGGAGCGAACAGGAUUAGAUACCCUGGUAGUCCAUGCCGUAAACGUUGGGCACUAGGUGUGGGGGACAUUCCACGUUUUCCGCGCCGUACUAACGCAUUAAGUGCCCCGCCUGGGGAGUACGGCCGCAAGGCUAAAACUCAAAGGAAUU